rnacentral:rRNA from 8 species
AAAGAAACCAACAGGGAUUGCCCUAGUAACGGCGAGUGAAGCGGCAACAGCUCAAAUUUGAAAUCUGGCCCUCGGGUCCGAGUUGUAAUUUGUAGAGGAUGCUUUUGGUGAGGUACCUUCCGAGUUCCCUGGAACGGGACGCCAUAGAGGGUGAGAGCCCCGUCUGGUUGGAUACCAAACCUCUGUAAAGCUCCUUCGACGAGUCGAGUAGUUUGGGAAUGCUGCUCUAAAUGGGAGGUAUAUGUCUUCUAAAGCUAAAUACCGGCCAGAGACCGAUAGCGCACAAGUAGAGUGAUCGAAAGAUGAAAAGCACUUUGAAAAGAGAGUUAAAAAGUACGUGAAAUUGUUGAAAGGGAAGCGCUUAUGACCAGACUUGGACUUGGUUGAUCAUCCUGGGUUCUCCCUGGUGCACUCUUCCAGUUCAGGCCAGCAUCAGUUCGCUGCGGGGGAUAAAAGUUUUGGGAAUGUGGCUCCCUCGGGAGUGUUAUAGCCCAUUUCAUAAUACCCUGCUCCGGACUGAGGUUCGCGCAUCUGCAAGGAUGCUGGCGUAAUGGUCAUCAGCGACCCGUCUUGAAACACGGACCAAGGAGUCGUCUUCGUAUGCGAGUGUUCGGGUGUUAAACCCCUACGCGUAAUGAAAGUGAACGCAGGUGAGAGCUUCGGCGCAUCAUCGACCGAUCCUGAUGUUCUCGGAUGGAUUUGAGUAAGAGCAUACGGGGCCGGACCCGAAAGAAGGUGAACUAUGCCUGUAUAGGGUGAAGCCAGAGGAAACUCUGGUGGAGGCUCGCAGCGGUUCUGACGUGCAAAUCGAUCGUCAAAUAUGGGCAUGGGGGCGAAAGACUAAUCGAACCUUCUAGUAGCUGGUU